UAGUCCACGCUGUAAACGAUGGUCACUCGAUAUACGCCCCUUGAGGGUGUGUGUCCUAGCGAAAGCGUUAAGUGACCCACCUGGGGAGUACGUUCGCAAGAAUGAAACUUAAAGGAAUUGACGGGGUCCGCACAAGCGGUGGAGCAUGUGGUUUAAUUCGAUACUACGCGAGGAACCUUACCUAGGCUUUAAUGUAGGUUGACUCAUUGAGGAAUCAGUGUUUCCGCAAGGACAACCUACAAGGUGCUGCAUGGCUGUCGUCAGCUCGUGCCGUGAGGUGUUUGGUUAAGUCCUAUAACGAGCGCAACCCUUAUGCUUAGUUGCCAGCACGUAAUGGUGGGAACUCUAAGCAAACUGCCUGUGAAAGCAGCGAGGAAGGGAAGGGAUGAGGUCAAGUCAUCAUGGCCCUUAU
rnacentral:rRNA from 1 species